GGGGUGCAGCAGGCGCGAAACCUCUGCAAUAGGCGAAAGCCUGACAGGGUUACUCUGAGUGAUUUCCGUUAAGGAGAUCUUUUGGCACCUCUAAAAAUGGUGCAGAAUAAGGGGUGGGCAAGUCUGGUGUCAGCCGCCGCGGUAAUACCAGCACCCCGAGUGGUCGGGACGUUUAUUGGGCCUAAAGCAUCCGUAGCCGGUUCUACAAGUCUUCCGUUAAAUCCAACUGCUUAACAGGUGGGCUGCGGAAGAUACUAUAGAGCUAGGAGGCGGGAGAGGCAAGCGGUACUCGAUGGGUAGGGGUAAAAUCCGUUGAUCCAUUGAAGACCACCA
rnacentral:rRNA from 1 species